rnacentral:rRNA from 1 species
UACGAAGGGGGCUAGCGUUGUUCGGAAUCACUGGGCGUAAAGCGCACGUAGGCGGCUUUCUAAGUCAGGGGUGAAAUCCUGGAGCUCAACUCCAGAACUGCCUUUGAUACUGGCGAUCUUGAGUCCGGGAGAGGUGAGUGGAACUGCGAGUGUAGAGGUGAAAUUCGUAGAUAUUCGCAAGAACACCAGUGGCGAAGGCGGCUCACUGGCCCGGUACUGACGCUGAGGUGCGAAAGCGUGGGGAGCAAACAGG